rnacentral:rRNA from 1 species
GACGGAGGAUGCAAGCGUUAUCCGGAAUUAUUGGGCGUAAAGCGUCCGCAGGUGGACAUACAAGUCUGCUGUCAAAGUGCAGAGCUUAACUCUGUAAAGGCGGUGGAAACUGUAGGUCUUGAGUAUGGUAGGGGUAGAGGGAAUUCCCGGUGUAGCAGUGAAAUGCGUAGAUAUCGAGAGGAACACCAGUGGCGAAGGCGAGUCUCUGGACGACUCCUGACACUGAGGCACGAAAGCCAGGGGAGCAAACAGG